UUGCAGGUACUUUCCUGGAAAAACGAGGGAGAUUUGGAUGGAACUGGAUUUCCCAAAACGGUGUUAAUGAGAAUAAAAGUCUUCUCCCACCUAAACCUGGCUGAUCAUCGUACAUCUGGUUUGAGAUUAUUUUGUUUAUCGCUGUAGCAACCAGCUGGGCCAGGUGGACCCUGGUUGAACCUCACCUCUGCUGCAUUGAGUAUCUGUCACCACGCAGCUUCUCAGCUGCCUCCACGUUGGAGUAUGGAAACCCACUCAACUAUUCUGGUGGAUGUGCAGGCAUGAAAGGAAGAAAGCCAUCCCAACAGCA